UACAGAGGUCCCAAGCGUUGUUCGGAUUCACUGGGCGUAAAGGGUGCGUAGGCGGUUCGGCAAGUCGGGUGUGAAAUUUCGAGGCUCAACCUCGAAACGCCACUCGAUACUGCUGUGACUGGAGUCCGGUAGAGAAGUGCGGAAUUCCUGGUGUAGCGGUGAAAUGCGCAGAUAUCAGGAGGAACACCAACGGCGAAGGCAGCACUCUGGGCCGGUACUGACGCUGAGGAGCGAAAGCGUGGGGAGCAAACAGG
rnacentral:rRNA from 1 species